UACAGAGGGGGCGAGCGUUGUUCGGAAUUACUGGGCGUAAAGGGCGCGUAGGCGGCCAACUAAGUCAGACGUGAAAUCCCUCGGCUCAACCGGGGAACUGCGUCUGAUACUGGAUGGCUUGAAUUCGGGAGAGGGAUGCGGAAUUCCAGGUGUAGCGGUGAAAUGCGUAGAUAUCUGGAGGAACACCGGUGGCGAAGGCGGGUCUCUGGGCCGAUACUGACGCUGAGGAGCGAAAGCGUGGGGAGCAAACAGG
rnacentral:rRNA from 1 species